UGACCUCGGAUCAGGUAGGAUACC
rnacentral:rRNA from 1 species